rnacentral:lncRNA from 12 species
AAGUCCGCGGGCUUGAGUCCCAGUGUUCUUUUACAUUUCUGGGUUUCAGAUCUUAGGAGAACCUCCCCUGCCCUUAUCUUAGGAAACAAUCUUGUAUUCUAAUCCGGUUACAGAUGUGGCUACGACCUCAGGUGUCCGGUCCACCCGGAGCCCGUUCGCCACUUGGGCAGGUGUCAGAACCUCCUUGCGCCAUUCAUGACGUCACCCGCCCUUCCUGGUGACUCCAAGAUCCGCCUUGGAAACGGAGUGCUCCGCGCGCGAGGCUGCGUGUGCCCCUGGGUGUGCCUCCAGCAGCGUCCGUGCAGGUUCACCAGCCGUUGCAGAAUAACACCGGAUUUUUUUCAUGACGAACGGCUGAUGAAUUUGAGAGAAAUACCCUUUCACUACGUGCUGAUCCUCGACGUAGCCCCUCGUUUAAUUACUAGUUGCUGCGGCGGGUUCUCUUGUGCCGUCUCCUGGUGGUGACAAACCCGGUGGGUCGCGGCGUGUCCCGCAGCGCCGCCAGACCCCGGGGCCGCUGUUGGGUCAGCACAGCCGCAUCAGAGGACUCAGGCAUCUGCUUCACAGUGAGAUGGGUCUCUGGUCCUUCGGUGUCCUCGCUGGAGGUGAGCUCGGGAUUGUGGCGGCCUGACAGGGGGUUGGGCACCCCCUGGAGUAGUCUGGCCCUUGGGGGGUCUGGAGGGCUCAGGAAGCUGCAGGAUCAGUGGGUGGGGACGCCCUACUGAUCUGCACGCCCCCCACCUCCUUGCCCGGUGGGUGCUGGGCACCCUCCCGUGGGGCUGGGGCCUGUCCCUCUCGGAGUAUCUGCCCAUCUCCUCGUUUGCACCUGACCUCCGCCCGGUUAGAGGUCUUAUUGUGCCCACUUGACCCCUAAGAAGCAGACCUGGAAAAGAGAAGACCUUGACGCUCUGAGAUCUUUACUGUGUUUGCAGGAAACGCCUGGACCCCAAUGUCUUGCUGUUUGAUCGUGACCCAGCUCUGCGUCCCCUGGAUACACGCAGCUCAAGGGGGCAUGGUGGGCAGGGCUUGCAGGCAGAGGAACCCGGUUCCAGCGGCCCGGCAAUGACUUGGUGGAAGGCAGUGGGGAGGGGGUGGUUAGGGGGUG